rnacentral:ncRNA from 2 species
GUGGAAGUUAGGGGGUGCUUGCCUGUUUGGGCUUGCUGAGAAUAUACCCAUUGACCUGAUACGGGUAAUGCCGUCGUAGGGAAAAUUCCCCUUAUUUAU